rnacentral:rRNA from 1 species
GAUGAACGCUAGCGAUAGGCUUAACACAUGCAAGUCGAGGGGCAGCAUGGUCUUAGCUUGCUAAGGCUGAUGGCGACCGGCGCACGGGUGCGUAACGCGUAUGCAACUUGCCUCACAGAGGGGGAUAACCCGUCGAAAGACGGACUAAUACCGCGUACACUCUAUGUUGGGCAUCCAAUGUAGAGGAAAUGAAAUUCGCUGUGAGAUAGGCAUGCGUCCCAUUAGCUAGUUGGUGAGGUAACGGCUCACCAAGGCGACGAUGGGUAGGGGAACUGAGAGGUUGAACCCCCACACUGGUACUGAGACACGGAGCAGACUCCUACGGGAGGCAGCAGUGAGGAAUAUUGGUCAAUGGGCGAGAGCCUGAACCAGCCAAGUCGCGUGAAGGAUGACUGUCUUAUGGAUUGUAAACUUCUUUUAUACGGGAAUAACAAGAGUCACGUGUGGCUCCCUGCAUGUACCGUAUGAAUAAGCAUCGGCUAACUCCGUG